GGAAGUAAAAGUCUAACAAGGUUUCCGUAGGUGAACCUGCGGAAGGAUCAUUAUCACGUAUCCACGUAUAAACCAUUGUGAACUGUACAUUAUUUUAAAAACGAAGGAUUUGCGUUCAUUCGCUCAUUCUUUCUUUUUUUAAUUAAACUAUUUAAACCUUUAAUUAAUUAUUGAACUGAUUAUAUUUCUUACUCUUCGGAGAAGAAAUUUUAUUACGAAACAAAGAACAACUCUUAGCAACGGAUAUCUUGGUUCUC
rnacentral:misc_RNA from 1 species